rnacentral:tRNA from 1 species
GCGCCUGUAGCUCAGCCGGAUAGAGUAGUGGCUUCCGAAGCCGGGGGUUCGAAUCCCUCCAGGCGCGCCA